AGAGCGAACGCUGGCGGCGUGCUUAACACAUGCAAGUCGAACGCGCAGCAUUCUGUAGCAAUACAGGGUGUGGGCGCGUGGCGAACGGGUGCGUAACACGUGGAUAACCUUCCUUGAGGUGGGGAAUAACCCAGUGAAAAUUGGGCUAAUACCGCAUAACAUCGCGAUGGCACAUGCUGAUGCGAUCAAAGGCGCAAGUCGCCACAAGAGGGAUCCGCGGCCGAUUAGCUUGUUGGCGAGGUAAUGGCUCACCAAGGCGAAGAUCGGUA
rnacentral:rRNA from 1 species